AGUCUGGACAGUCAUGGCGGCGACUGUGGCGACGGCGGCAGCUGUGGCCCCGGCGCCAGCGCCCGGCACGGACGGCGCCUCUUCAGUGCACUGGUUCCGCAAAGGGCUGCGACUCCACGACAACCCGGCGUUGCUGGCGGCCGUGCGCGGGGCGCGCUGCGUGCGCUGCGUUUACAUUCUCGACCCGUGGUUCGCGGCCUCCUCCUCAGUCGGGAUCAACCGAUGGAGGUUCCUACUUCAGUCUCUGGAAGAUUUGGACACAAGUUUAAGGAAACUGAACUCCCGCCUGUUUGUAGUCCGGGGACAGCCAGCCGACGUGUUCCCAAGGCUGUUCAAGGUAAGCGUGCAGAGCCCCAGAGAAGACAGUGAGAUUCUGUCCCUGAGGGUUUCCCCACAGCCUGAGUGAUAUGAUAUUCCGACUGAGGGAAUGGAAACAUCAGGGCUGGUCUGGCUGUUGCUGCUAGAGAAGUUGGGAGCAAAGGCAGCCAGUUAGCUUGCUCUUGGAAUGGAAACUGUGUUAAGGAAAAAAAUUCUGGGAAACCAGUGUCUUGUUGGAAAGCUCU
rnacentral:sRNA from 1 species